rnacentral:tRNA from 1 species
GCCACCUUAGCUCAGGGGUAGAGCAGUCCCUUCGUAAGGGAAAGGUCCGGAGUUCGAAUCUCCGAGGUGGCUCAA